GACGAACGCUGGCGGCGUGCUUAACACAUGCAAGUCGAGCGGUAAGGCCCUUUCGGGGGUACACGAGCGGCGAACGGGUGAGGAACACAUCGGAAUCUGCCUGGUUGUGGGGGAUAACGUAGGGAAACUUACGCUAAUACCGCAUGCGACCCUGAGUCGACGGACUGGGGGUGAAAGUGAGGGACCUUCGGGCCUCACGCGACCAGAUGAGCCGAUGUCGGAUUAGCUAGUUGGCGGGGUAACGGCCCGCCAAGGCGACGAUCCGUAGCUGGUCUGAGAGGAUGAUCAGCCACACUGGGACUGAGACACGGCCCAGACUCCUACGGGAGCAGCAGUGGGGAAUCUUGGACAAUGGGCGCAAGCCUGAUCCAGCCAUG
rnacentral:rRNA from 1 species